GAAUAAUCUUGUAUAGAGCAACUGAAUUGCGAAAAAAGGAUUUGAUUUCUGUGUACGAAGAUAAAGUGAAGGGUUUGGUGAAGAAACUUCUUGCUCUUGAUGGAGUUUCAGAAAGUGAGGUAUGCUUUGAAGAUUUCCUUUGGUAGGGAUCUCCUCAAAAUGAACUCUUUCUUAUUCUCUCUAAAAAUGGGGUGGGUGGGG